rnacentral:rRNA from 1 species
AGACGGAGGGCGCAAGCGUUGUUCGGAAUUACUGGGCGUAAAGGGCGGGCAGGCGGCCCGUUAAGUCGUUUGUGAAAAUCCGGGGCUCAACCCCGCGAAAUGCAAGCGAUACUGGCGGACUGGAGACCGGUAGAGGCUAGCGGAAUUCCUGGUGUAGCGGUGGAAUGCGUAGAUAUCAGGAAGAACACCUGUGGCGAAGGCGGCUAGCUGGGCCGAGGCUGACACUCAUCCGCGAAAGCGUGGGGAGCAAACAGGAUUAGAUACCCCGGUAGUCC